AUUGCACGCUGGCGGCAUGCCUAACACAUGCAAGUCGAACGAGUGGCGGACGGGUGAGUAAUAUAUGGGAACCUGCCUGAUGGAGGGGGAUAACUACUGGAAACGGUAGCUAAUACCGCAUACCAUCAGAGGUGCCCAGAUGGGAUUAGCUUGUUGGUGGGGUAAAGGCUCACCAAGGCGACGAUCCCUAGCUGGUCUGAGAGGAUGACCAGCCACACUGGAACUGAGACACGGGCCAGACUCCUACGGGAGGCAGCAGUGGGGAAUAUGGCACAAGGGGCGAAAGCCUGAUACAGCCAUGCCGCGUGUAUGAAGAAGGCCUUCGGGUUGUAAAGUACUUUCAGCGGGGAGGCGUUACCCGCAGAAGAAGCACCGGCUAACUCCGUGCCAGCAGCCGCGGUAAUUC
rnacentral:rRNA from 1 species